AGAGGAAGGUCCCCCACAUUGGAACUGAGACACGGUCCAAACUCCUACGGGAGGCAGCAGUGAGGAAUAUUGGUCAAUGGACGGGAGUCUGAACCAGCCAAGUAGCGUGAAGGCUGAAGGGCCUCGGGUUGUAAACUUCUUUACUAAGGGAAUAAACCCUCCCACGUGGAGCUUGUAUGUACCUUAUGAAUAAGCAUCGGCUAA
rnacentral:rRNA from 1 species